CCUACGGGUGGCAGCAGUGAGGAAUAUUGGUCAAUGGACGAGAGUCUGAACCAGCCAAGUAGCGUGAAGGAUGACUGCCCUAUGGUUUGUAAACUUCUUUUAUAUGGGAAUAAAAUGUUCCACGUGUGGGAUUUUGUAUGUACCAGAUGAAUAAGGAUCGGCUAACUCCGUGCCAGCAGCCGCGGUAAUACGGAGGAUCCGAGCGUUAUCCGGAUUUAUUGGGUUUAAAGGGAGCGUAGGUGGAUUGUUAAGUCAGUGGUGAAAGUUUGCGGCUCAACCGUAAAAGUGCCGUUGAAACUGGCAGUCUUGAGUACAGUAGAGGUGGGCGGAAUUCGUGGUGUAGCGGUGAAAUGCUUAGAUAUCACGAAGAACUCCGAUUGCGAAGGCAGUUCACUGGACUGCAACUGACACUGAGGCUCGAAAGUGUGGGUAUCAAACAGGAUUAGAUACCCGGGUAGUC
rnacentral:rRNA from 1 species